GGCUUGGCUGGGCGGUCCGCUUUACGGCGUGUACUGUCUGGCUGGGUCUUACCUCUUGGUGAGCCGGCGUGCCCUUUAUUGGCGUGCGUCGGGGAACCAGGACUUUUACCUUGAGAAAAUUAGAGUGUUCAAAGCAGGCUAUUGCCUGAAUACAUUAGCAUGGAAUAAUAAAAUAGGACGUGUGGUUCUAUUUUGUUGGUUUCUAGAGUCACCGUA
rnacentral:rRNA from 1 species